ACACUCACGUUUCUCUUCAGAUCGUAUAAAUCUUUUGCCUUUUACUAAAGGUUUCCGUGGAGAGGAACAAUCUGAGUUCUCGUAAAUUUUUCGAUGCUUUGCCUAGUGCGGGCCU